GCUGUAACUCAGUGGUAGAGCAUUUGCCUUGCAUUCAGAAGGUCCAAGUUCAAUCCUUGGCAUCACCA